UCAGACUAAAUAAUCCAUCUGAAGCAAAGCAGGUUUGGGCCUGACCAGUACAUGGGUGGGAGACCAACUAGAAAAGCUGGGUUGCUGCU
rnacentral:rRNA from 1 species